rnacentral:rRNA from 1 species
AGAUUGAACGCUGGCGGCAUGCCUUACACAUGCAAGUCGAACGCGAAAGGGGGGGCAACCCCCGAGUAGAGUGGCGAACGGGUGAGUAAUACAUCGGAACAUAUCCAGUAGCGGGGGAUAACCUCGAGAAAUCGAGGCUAAUACCGCAUACGUCCUACGGGAGAAAGGCGGGGGACCGCAAGGCCUCGCACUAUUGGAGUGGCCGAUGUCGGAUUAGCUUGUGGCGGGGUAAAAGCCCACCAAGGCUACGAUCCGUAGCUGGUCUGAGAGGAUGAUCAGCCACACUGGGACUGAGACACGGCCCAGACUCCUACGGGAGGCAGCAGGUGGGAAUUUGGACAAUGGGCGCAAGCCUGAUCCAGUCCAGUCGCCGCGGUGAGUGAAGGAAGUCCGUGGGUUAGUAAGCUCGUUCGGCCGGACGAA